rnacentral:rRNA from 1 species
UACAGGGGGUGUAAACGUUGCUCGGAAUUAUUGGGCGUAAAGCGCACGUAGGCGGUUUGUUAUGUCGGAUGUGAAAGCCCUUGGCUCAACUGAGGAAGUGCAUCCGAAACUGGCAAGCUAGAGUAUGUAAGAGGGUCGCGGAAUUCCCGGUGUAGAGGUGAAAUUCGUAGAUAUCGGGAGGAACACCGGUGGCGAAGGCGGCGACCUGGGACAAUACUGACGCUGAGGUGCGAAAGCGUGGGGAGCAAACAGG